rnacentral:rRNA from 1 species
CUGAUGUUAGCGGCGGACGGGUGAGUAACACGUGGGUAACCUGCCUGUAAGACUGGGAUAACUCCGGGAAACCGGGGCUAAUACCGGAUGGUUGUUUGAACCGCAUGGUUCAAACAUAAAAGGUGGCUUCGGCUACCACUUACAGAUGGACCCGCGGCGCAUUAGCUAGUUGGUGAGGUAACGGCUCACCAAGGCAACGAUGCGUAGCCGACCUGAGAGGGUGAUCGGCCACACUGGGACUGAGACACGGCCCAGACUCCUACGGGAGGCAGCAGUAGGGAAUCUUCCGCAAUGGACGAAAGUCUGACGGAGCAACGCCGCGUGAGUGAUGAAGGUUUUCGGAUCGUAAAGCUCUGUUGUUAGGGAAGAACAAGUACCGUUCGAAUAGGGCGGUACCUUGACGGUACCUAACCAGAAAGCCACGGCUAACUACGUGCCAGCAGCCGCGGUAAUACGUAGGUGGCAAGCGUUGUCCGGAAUUAUUGGGCGUAAAGGGCUCGCAGGCGGUUUCUUAAGUCUGAUGUGAAAGCCCCCGGCUCAACCGGGGAGGGUCAUUGGAAACUGGGGAACUUGAGUGCAGAAGAGGAGAGUGGAAUUCCACGUGUAGCGGUGAAAUGCGUAGAGAUGUGGAGGAACACCAGUGGCGAAGGCGACUCUCUGGUCUGUAACUGACGCUGAGGAGCGAAAGCGUGGGGAGCGAACAGGAUUAGAUACCCUGGUAGUC